rnacentral:rRNA from 1 species
UACGGGGGGGGCAAGCGUUGUUCGGAAUUACUGGGCGUAAAGGGCGCGUAGGCGGCCUGUUAAGUCGAACGUGAAAUCCCCGGGCUCAACCCGGGAACUGCGUCCGAUACUGGCAGGCUUGAAUCCGGGAGAGGGAUGUGGAGUUCCAGGUGUAGCGGUGAAAUGCGUAGAUAUCUGGAGGAACACCGGUGGCGAAGGCGGCAUCCUGGACCGGUAUUGACGCUGAGGCGCGAAAGCCAGGGGAGCAAACGGG